rnacentral:rRNA from 1 species
AAUAGAUACCCGGGUAGUCCACGCCGUAAACGAUGAGUGCUAAGUGUUAGAGGGUUUCCGCCCUUUAGUGCUGAAGUUAACGCAUUAAGCACUCCGCCUGGGGAGUACGGCCGCAAGGCUGAAACUCAAAGGAAUUGACGGGGGCCCGCACAAGCGGUGGAGCAUGUGGUUUAAUUCGAAGCAACGCGAAGAACCUUACCAGGUCUUGACAUCCCCCUGACAACCCUAGAGAUAGGGCUUCUCCUUCGGGAGCAGAGUGACAGGUGGUGCAUGGUUGUCGUCAGCUCGUGUCGUGAGAUGUUGGGUUAAGUCCCGCAACGAGCGCAACCCUUGAUCUUAGUUGCCAUCAUUAAGUUGGGCACUCUAAGGUGACUGCCGGUGACAAACCGGAGGAAGGUGGGGAUGACGUCAAAUCAUCAUGCCCCUUAUGACCUGGGCUACACACGUGCUACAAUGGACGGUACAAAGAGCUGCAAGACCGGCGAGGUGGAGCUAAUCUCAUAAAACCGUUCUCAGUUCGGAUUGUAGGCUGCAACUCG